UUGACAGACGAUGUACAUACCAACAAGCCUAACUUAGUUCUAAUAAUGGUGUUGCUACUGGCCAUUUUUAUCCUGAUCCUUGUGAUCGCUUUUGGACUAAUCUUCUUUCGAAGACAUCGAAGCCACCGUAAGCAAUGUAAGUGUCUUGUGUUGUGCUUUCAGUUGUUCCUCAUUAAGCCUUUUGUUUCUCGCGGAGAAUAACAAUUUUCAUCUGACUUUACAUAUUUGUCGUUUCCUCUACUCUUUACCUUGAGUGAUCCAUAUUUUCAGCUAACUGUGCUUGAUUAUAACAGAAUGUGCAUACCAUCGCCAUUACAUGCUCUUCGAAUAGUUUCAGCAGUUUGCUUCUCAUUAUUGUAUUCUUCACUUUUUGGAAAUAUUUCCCAAAGAGCUCAACUUUCCUACUUUUUUUUUUUUUUCUGUCAACACUAACAACAACUACAAUGCUGAAAAUUAACCGAUGACUCGAUGUUUGGGAAUGAAAAUGGAAAUGAUCUUACUUAAAAUGACAUUUAACCAAAGAUCGUGUCACAUGCACCUUCGAGAAGCCUUCGAGCCCCAUACAGACGCCACUCGACCCUGUGCUUAUUCAACAAACACAGAGCCCUACUGAGCUUACCGCUCGCCUAAACCUUUCACGGAGGGAAUCUGAGCUGGCCACCUAUGAGACAGUGAGCAAAUGCAUAAAGGAGUGCGAGUAUGAUGACAUUGAUAAAGCUCGUCGAAAGUCGAGGUCAGUAAGCGAGGACUCUUUAGAUGUUCAAGAGCGAGCACGAAACACAAUGGUGAGUGGUGAGAGAGGAAUAAAGCAGCCACCCAGUUACCAUGAUGAAAAAGAAGAGAACAAAGAUCAUGUUUACGCUGUACUUCGCAAACAUAGAAAAGGUAGAGCCAGUUCUGAAGAGAGAGCCCUAACAAAGUGUCCUGGCCGCCCUCAGAAAGGAACCAGUGGGUUACCUGUGGACCGAGCGUCAUCUGUAGGGCUUGAAGAGUACACAAAGGCCACCCUGAACGAGACACCCCAGGCUGGCGAGAACGCAGAACAGUUGUAUGCCAGUUUUGACUAGACAAACAAGAAGGAUCAUGUUUACGCUGUCUUUCACGAACAAAGGAAAGGAAGAGACCGCUCUGAAGGGAGCGCUCUCAUAAAAUCUCCGGGCCGCCCACAGAAAGGAACUUGUGGGUUAUAUGCGAAUCAGGCAUCCUGUCUCGGGAUCGAAGACUACACAAAGGCCUCCAUGAACGAACCACCCCAGGCUGGCAAGAACGCAGAAUGCUUGUAUGCAGUUGUUGACAAGACAAACAAGAAGAAGAAAGCGCCACAGGUGCCCGCUCCCUACCUUGGUCAUGUGUACCCAGUUUUGGUCCAUUCCCCAGAAAACAGUGCCUAGCUUGUCAAAGAACAGGCCUAAACUUUAGACGCCCACAAUGAUAACGUCAAGACUGCAAGCGUGAAGAUAUCACACUAGAGUCUUGAGGAAACAAAGGAGGGGGAGCAUUGGUGAACUCUGUUUGUUUUUAAUCCCAAAAAAUUGUUAAUGAUAAUCAUGAAAGGUUCAUUCAAAACUUAAGUAAAAUAAUAACAUUUCAUUGUUGUGGAGACAGUGAUCAGUAAUCAUUUGUUUUAUAACUUUAAAUACCGGAUUAUUCUAGUGAAAAUAAUUUUCAGUGGAUUGUACUAGGAUAAUUGUAACAACCUCAACUGUCGUGUAGCAGAAUGCUAAGGAUAGUUCUCGUUAAGGUAAAUAUAAAACGGAGAAAAUCAAUAUUACUCCAUAAGUUGAAUUAGUAAUAAGUUCGAAAUCGGCGUUUCGCGCAUGGGCCUACCGAGGGAAAAAUUUUAAAAGUUCGAUGCACUUUGUACUUAGUGUUUGGUUUCAUGCAAAAGAGAAGCUUAAGAUUUCGCUCCACAUACAGUCAAUAUAUCGAGUUAAGUGUAAAAACUUGCAAAUAUCCCGAUGGUUUUUGUCCUUUCAAAAAAUUAAAAUAAAUUCUCGAGUUCUGCUGAUAUUAAAUUAAACUACAGCGUCGAAUUUUUCAAAUUGUAAUACCCGUUUUAGCAUUUGUAUGACAAAUAUCACGUUAUGGUCUAUCACAAAAACAAAAAGGGCUAAAUAAGUUAACAAUUUCAUUUAAUCAAUGGGAAAUAUUUUAUAAUAUGGUUAAAGCAUUUGCUAUACGCAUUUCCCCUACUAAUCAAAAUGACACAAUUAUCUAUCAAUAUAUGUUGGAUGGAAGGGUAUUCCGGCAAUCUUUUAUUUGGUUAAAAUAUGUGAAAUGAGUAAUACUUAAAUCAGUAAGUUCUGAAAUUCAACGAAUCACUUAUCCUUCAAACUUGACCAUCACUGUAAAUAGCAUUUAGUAACAACAGCUCGGCUAACGCAGCUUUCAAACGUCAAGCAUGCGGGAG
rnacentral:misc_RNA from 1 species